GACGAACGCUGGCGGCGUGCUUAACACAUGCAAGUCGAACGGACUUAGGUUGAAGCCUAGCGAUUCCUAAGUUAGUGGCGGACGGGUGAGUAACGCGUGGGUAACCUGCCUCACACUGGGGGAUAACAGUUAGAAAUAGCUGCUAAUACCGCAUAAGCGCACGGGAUCGCAUGAUUCUGUGUGAAAAACUCCGGUGGUGUGAGAUGGACCCGCGUCUGAUUAGCUAGUUGGUGGGGUAACGGCUCACCAAGCCGACGAUCAGUAGCCGGCCUGAGAGGGCGACCGGCCACAUUGGGACUGAGACACGGCCCAGACUCCUGCGGGAGGCAGCAGUGGGGGAUAUUGCACAAUGGGGGGAAACCCUGAUGCAGCGACGCCGCGUGAGCGAAGAAGUAUUUCGGAUGUAAAGCUCUAUCAGCAGGGAAGAAAUGACGGUACCUGACUAAGAAGCCCCGGNUAACUACGUG
rnacentral:rRNA from 1 species